GAUGAAGAACGCAGCGAAAUGCGAUAAGUAGUGUGAAUUGCAGAAUUCCGUGAAUCAUCGAAUCUUUGAACGCAUCUUGCGCUCCUUGGUAUUCCUUGGAGCAUGCCUGUUUGAGUAUCAUGAGCAAAUCUCAAAGUCAAUUCCUUUUGUUAAUUCAAUUGGUUUUGCUUUGGACUUGGAGGUCUUGCAGAUUUUCACAGUCUGCUCCUCUUAAAUGCAUUAGCUGGAUCUCAGUAAUUAUGCUUGGUUCCACUCGGCGUGAUAAGUAUCACUCGCUGAGGACACUGUUAAAAAGGUGGCCAGGAAAAUACUGAUUGAACCGCUUCUAACGGUCUAUUAAGUUAGACAAUUACCCUUAAGUUUGAUCUCAAAUCAGGUAGGACUACCCGCUGAACUUAAGCAUAUCAAUAAGCGGAGGA
rnacentral:misc_RNA from 1 species